UACGAGGGGGGCAAGCGUUGUUCGGAAUUAUUGGGCGUAAAGGGUGCGUAGGCGGUCUGACAAGUCUGAUGUGAAAUCUAUGGGCUCAACCCAUAGUCUGCAUCGGAAACUGUCGGGCUUGAGUAUGGGAGAGGUGAGUGGAAUUUCCGGUGUAGCGGUGAAAUGCGUAGAGAUCGGCAGGAACACCUAGGGGGAAACCAGUGGACUGGGCAUCGGCUGACGCUCAGGUGCGAAAGCGUGGGGAGCGAACCGG
rnacentral:rRNA from 1 species